AGCACCACUGCCGACGUCUGCGUCCAGACUCCUCCCCGGGAGCCUCGGGCCCCAUGGAGUGGCCUGGGGUGGUCAGGGAGGGACACAGCUUUCACGGAGCACGUGUGGAACGCUUUCCACCAUGAUGCUGCAAGUACUGGGGAUCAAACCUAAGGGUACUGUAUCACAGAGCUGCACCCAGCCUUUUUGAGACAGGAUCUCACUAAGUUGCCCAGGCUGGGCUCAAACUCGCAAUCCUCCUGCCUCAGCCUCCUGAGCAGCUGAGACUACAGGAAGCUGAUGGAGGCCAGUGAGUCACAAACAAGACACUCAGGUGAGGCUACCUGGAGGGUAACCCAAGGACCAAGACACUGGGGUGCUCACAGAGGCCUCAUGAGGCAGUGGCACCAGAGUUUUGUAAAAAGAGCAGCAAAGAAGCUUCUAGAAGUGAAGAUUAACCAAGAUGGCCACUGCUACGGUGGAUGAGAAGGCCUUGGCGGUGUGUAGACCGGUG
ensembl:lncRNA